GGCCACUUAGCUCAGUUGGCUAGAGCAUUGCAUUCACAUUGCAGGGGUCACUGGUUCGAACCCAGUAGUGGCUACCA
rnacentral:tRNA from 1 species